rnacentral:rRNA from 1 species
UACGUAGGGUGCGAGCGUUAAUCGGAAUUACUGGGCGUAAAGGGUGCGCAGGCGGUUAUAUAAGACAGAUGUGAAAUCCCCGGGCUCAACCUGGGGAACUGCGUUUGUGACUGUAUGACUAGAGUACGGUAGAGAGGGGUGGAAUUCCUGGUGUAGCAGUGAAAUGCGUAGAUAUCAGGAGGAACAUCGAUGGCGAAGGCA